GGGGAUGUUCUGGCUUCGACGCUGGUAAUGAAACUCAAUGAGGCAUGUCGAGAGAGUAUGCCCUCUCGUAAAUCAAGCAUAUAUUAAAAUAGUCGCAAACGACGAAACUUACGCUCUAGUAGCUUAAGGGCUGCUUAGGACGGCACAGAUUGCCUUUGGUCUGGUUGCUCUCCUAGAAGCGAACGUACGAAGGAUGGUCUAAGUUAGCGUUCCGAUGACUUAGGCGAAAUUUAGGAAAUCGCCCUAUCCACCCUGACUGUCGGGUCGGUGUGGGUUAAAGCCAAAGACAGAGCCUAAACAUGUAGAAUCAUGAGCGUAGUGCUGGCGGACGCGGGUUCAACUCCCGCCAUCUCCACCA
rnacentral:tmRNA from 1 species